AUACAUUUUAACUUGUAUUGCCACGACAGCAACGACAAGCCUGGUAAUACAAACAGUUGACUCUGUACAUGGCAUGUGAUAAUUCUGCACAUUUUUAAAAUAUACAGUGAACAGGCUAAACAAACAUUUCUAGGUCAGGUUGCUAACAAGAGAUAGGUGCCUAUUGUAGAGCGACAUGCGAGGAUUAAACAUACAAUUAAUGAUCAAGCUUUUUAUGAUGUAAAGCAAGCUGGGUUAUACAGGCUAGGUUUAGCUUUUGCAUGAGAUUGAGUAGUGGGCGUUUGUUGCAUUCUUUACUCAGAAAACAUAAACAGUUCACUUAUUGAAAUUUAAGAGGAGUGGACAACAUUACAGGAGCAUAUUCGCUACAGUGGAAGAAGUCGUACAUGUUAACCAUUAUUCGGUGUAUUGCAGAGUGAAAAAAAAAAAAAAGAGAAAGGAAAAAAAGUGACACGAAGGACUAACUCGAUAUGUUGGAUUACAGCUGUGUACAUUGAGCCAUGUAUAUGUGGGAGAGCGGGUACAGGGCUUAAGUAGCUCUUGUGAUAGUUAAGUUCUGUGAGCCAGGUAAAGUAAAAUAAUAAAAAAAAAAGAGGGGGGGGGGUGCCCCCGAGCAUAAGGGGGCCUAAGGGAUAGGGCCCUACGUGAAGAUCCCUGACUGGGUCCUCUCAUGGAUUCCAGGGACCUUGGUCCAUGCACGUGCGGCCGGGUUGUAUGUGAAAAUAAAAAAAUUAAAAAAUGGAUAAAUUAAUAAAAAUGUGAGUAAAUAAUGUUGGGGGGGGGGCUAUAAUUACAUGAGGAUAACUGGCUGCUUGAGGUGGGAGCUAUCGCUGCUUAGAAGUGUGUCUCGUGCCUCCCCUCAUACCUCUGUUCCCAGAUGAGGCUUAAAAGUAACGUAGAGCCUCUAUAUGGCCAUGCUC